rnacentral:misc_RNA from 2 species
AACGCACCUUGCACUCUUUGGUAUUCCGAAGAGUAUGUCUGUUUGAGUGUCAUGAACCUCUCAACCCCCCCAUUUUGUAAUGAGAUGGGCGUGGGCUUGGAUUAUGGCCGCUUGUCGGACCCUCACGGGACCGGCUCGGCUGAAAUACACGAGUGACCCAAUUGGAAGAGGCGGCUUGACUCGGCGUAAUAAUAUAUUCGCUGGGGAACGCUAAUUCCGCGUGGUGCUUCUAAUGCGUAUACACCUUAAGCUUUAGACCUCAAAUCAGAUAGGACUACCCGCUGAACUUAA